CUGUGUGGUGCUCGCAGCUAUCCCGUGCCGGGUGGUGGUGAAAUGAAAGAGUUUUGAAAGCUGUUCGAAACACUCAGACCUUCUGCAUAGUUUAAAGAUUUCAGAAUUGCUGACAUUUGGGUAGAAAAAGUUGAGAUUACUUUUUCAAGGUCAAACACAGUAUUAUAAUUGCUGUAUUCAAAAACAGGUUUGGUCGGAACGAUAGUAAUUGGGCUAGCAGUUGGAUGUAAUCUUUUGGGCGUAGCUUUAGCAAUUUUACUGUAUUUUAUUUUUGUAAUUCUCUUAUUCAUUUCCUCAUUCACAGUUGUGGAGUUGGAGUUCGAGCUUUUCCUUAGCAGUGGAAAUUAAUUUUGAUAGACUUCAUCACCAAGAAUAUGUUGGUAGUUUGUGUUUUGAUAUCAUAUUAACUUGGAAAACGGCGCUGAGGACUGAAGAUAACAUAUGUGGAUCUAGAUCCCGCGGUAUUGUGCGCAAAAUGCUAAGUUUGUGAACCAAUCGUUUUACUAAAGUUUUUUUUAUUGGCAUGCUUCCGAUUCUACAAAAGCAGUUGAUGUCAAAACAAUGUUAACACACCCACCAGAACUACGCAAAUAGUCCCAAAUUCUGUUACCAGCAAAACACAAGACACCACAACGAUUUCAAACACAAACUCUUUAUCCAUAACUUAUCCAACAAAUACAAAAUCAGCAUUUUAAGAGCAAGCCCAAGUAUGCCCACAGUACUGCCAAACGUAUCUCAGUAACAUCGACAACGUAAUCAACUCACUCCCACUAUCAGUCGUCAUCGUCUUCCCUUUAUCAUCAACAGCAACUGCCUAAGUAUUUUAGUGGACAUGAUCAUCGUUGUCAAAUCGUAAUGACACGGAUACAUAAGAUGAUACAGGUGGUGGCCGUAAGUGCUACGCUCGUUUCCCUCCCCGUGCUAAUAACUGUCGCAAGAAGAAGUAUGGACACACCAACAAUUUUCGCCCUAAGAAGUGAAGUACAUUUUAAGUUGAA
rnacentral:sRNA from 1 species